CUUGUCGGAGUUGGGCUCGGUAGACGUCAGACAGAAAUAACACAGAGAGAACGAGGGAUAGGCGGGGUGAACUGCUGAAGUCGCUGAACUCUCGUGCUCUUUUUGACACCACCACCUCCUGCCCAAGGCUCCUCAAACAAAGAGAUCCUCUCUACAAGAAAUGAGGAACACUUUGAAGCUUCUCUUUGUGAUGAUCUUCCUCUGCUGGCAGAUGUUGUGUUUUGAAGGAGAGGCCGCUGGCAUUCCUACACUGGAAGAAGAGUCUUCCCAGCCAGAAGACCUGCCCUUGAAGAAUGAAGCCCCACCAAGGAGAGCCGUCCAACACUUUGCUGAUUUGAUGAAGAGGGUAAAACUCCACCAGUUCUAUGGCCUGAUGGGGAAACGAGCCAGAGAGCAUCAAGAGGGCAUGUUUACCUAGGACUCACAGAGUGAUGAAACCACAAAGGAGCAUGACAGAGAACUGGGCAAGCAGCCAGCUCCUUCACGCAUCAGUAUCUUAGAGGGAUUCAUCAUUCUAUACCACUUCUGCUGCUGCUUUACAGCCCCAGCGCAUCUUCUGCUGCCUGAUUCUUCCCGCCAGCUCUUCCCCACAAAGGACAAAUGCGUUGAGUGUUUUACAACCCCACUCCUUGUUUUCUGUUGUUAGGCACUUGCCUAAAAUAAAUGUGUUUGCCAAGCUA